GUUAGAUCAAAGCAAUCCAAGAGUUUUACAAUAGAUAAAAACACAAAUUUAAAACUUAAGGCUGGGGCAGAGCCGAUCUCGUAAAAUAUAAAGCAAAACCUUGAGAGUGUAAGGGCAUUAGCUGACUUAUCCAGAAAUGGAUUCAGAACAAGAUGAGGAUUGGUUUCACAAUGAAACUGACACUGAAGAUGAACAUGACGAAAUGAUUGCCACGUUGGAGCGAGAGCUGGGGCAGAAUGCUGCUGGAAACCAAAGUUAUACAAUACUUCGUAUGCUUCGGAUAUUUGCCGUCAUCAUUUUGGCCAUAGUUAUAGGCAAAUAUUUCCUAUUUAUUAAGUUAUAGUUCAAUUAAAUUCAUGUUAAAUUAUAAGUAAAUAAUGCACCAUUAUAAUGCAUAAUGAACCCCC